CUUUCCUUUUGGAUUUUGGUUCUUCUCAAUUAUUACAAGCAAAUCUGUGGUUGCUGGGAGGCCAGGAAGCCAUGGUUAAUUGAAAAAAUAGAGGUUGCACCUUCUUAGAAAGUGGAGUUCAUCUUGAAGAUUAUGUUCGGCUCCUUGUGGAGCACACUAUUAUUUGCUUCUGGAAAGCAAAGGUUUUGCUAGAGUCCUGCUUCUGGUCUGUACACUAUUGUGGCUGUGACGUUUGUGAAUAUGUGAUGACAAGGUCCUUCGAAACUUCGUA